rnacentral:misc_RNA from 1 species
GAUGAAGAACGCAGCGAAAUGCGAUAAGUAAUGUGAAUUGCAGAAUUCAGUGAAUCAUCGAAUCUUUGAACGCACAUUGCGCCCGCCAGUAUUCUGGCGGGCAUGCCUGUCCGAGCGUCAUUUCAACCAUCAAGCCCCGGGCUUGUGUUGGGGACCUGCGUCCGACGCAGGCCCUGAAAACCAGUGGCGGGCUCGCUGUCCACACCGAGCGUAGUAACUAACCUCGCUAUGGAGUGGCGCGGGCGCCUGCCGUAAAACCCCCAAUUUCACAAGGUUGACCUCGGAUCAGGUAGGAAUACCCGCUGAACUUAAGCAUACCAAUAAGCGGAGGA